rnacentral:rRNA from 1 species
GAUGAACGCUGGCGGCGUGCCUAAUACAUGCAAGUCGAGCGACCGGACGAGAAGCUUGCUCCCCUGAUGUUAGCGGCGGACGGGUGAGUAAGGCGUGGAUCACCUACCUCUAAUUCUGGGAUAACUUCGGAAAACCGCAGCUACUACUGCCUAAUACUUCGUACCGCUUGGUUCAAAAGUGAAAGACGGUCUUGCCGUCAGUUUUAGACGGUUCCGCGCUGCAUUAGCUAGUUGGUAAGGUAACGGCUUACCAAGGCGACGAUGCGUAGCCGACCUGAGAGGGUGAUCGGCCACACUGGAACUGAGACACGGUCCAGACUCCUACGGGAGGCAGCAGUAGGGAAUCUUGCGCAAUGGGCGAAAGCCUGACGGAGCAACACCGCGUGAGUGAUGAAGGUCUUCGGAUCGUAAAACUCUGUUAUUAGGGAAGAACAUAUGUGUAAGUAACUGUGCACGUCUUGACGGUACCUAAUCAGAAAGCCACGGCUAACUACGUG